UUACAAUUAUCUUGCCCUUCUGGAGGUGAGUUUGGUUGCGGAUUCGGACCGUCAACGUCACAGAGCUCCAAGCCACGUAAAACGCGGAUUCUCUGGCAACGCCUGAAGUGGGGUCAGGCAGCCCCCUGAUGACUGAGGUACACUGAAGACUGACUGCCACAAACGAGUGGCAAAUAACUGCACAGAAACGAGUUGAGAUUGUGACAGGAUCUGUAAAGGACAGGAGCCGGGAGAGUGUCCUCCAGUGGGGCCUGGACGUAGCUGAGGCCGCGCGGGAGGGUAUGUGACAGGGAAUACUUACACAAGGAAGGUGUCAAGCAUGAUCGCCAGUUCCAGGCUUAAGCAGCUGAGAACGGGAACCUUGAAGAGGUGGGCCCAUCUGGAUGGAAGAGCCGGAGGUUGCUCACCUGGAGACUCCAGCAGCCUCCUCAGAGACCUCCCCCCCCCCCGCCCCGCCCCCAUUCUCUGCACAGCCGCUGACGGUAGUCUCCUCAAUCAGGGCACUUCAGGGAUUACCCUACACAUAAUCAAUUCCAAAUUCCUCCCUCAGCCUCAGUCCUGCAUAACCUGACCCCUGCGUGAUCCCUCCCUCACUACACUCCAGACACAGAGACCGAGGUGUCUCAGCCUCACAUUUCAUGUGUUGUUCACUCCAUUCAGGAAACCGUCUCUGUAAGAAUCAAGAUGCUAGCAAGAUCCUGGAUAAUCUGUCCGCACGCAUGUUAAGCUUGAGAAGGAAGCACUGUCCCUCAGGACACACGGCAGUAGAGGAUCGUGUGCUUCCUCAACAGUGGAACGGCCUGCGAUCCUCAACCUGACGGAGAGACCAACUGGACCCGUCUUUGAGCCCAGCACCUUCCUUCAGGACUUGCCUCACUUGUCGCUGCUCAGGAGCCAAUCAAUAAACAUUUCCUGGGUGGACAGAUCUGGUGCUUCUCUGAACAUCAGCUGGAGGCAGCAGGUGUGCUCGUUCCCAGGGGAAAGGGGCCUCGGCUCAGUGCCACUCACUGCCCUCUUCCCCCACGAGGACCCCUCCUCCUCGCCCAGGAAACCACAGCUCAGAACUCAAGUGUCUGGAGGGCGGGGAACAGUGAGAAGCGGCCCCCCAGGAACCCGAGAGUCCCCUGUACUCUUGUGGGUGGAGACCUCACUCUCACGGGUGGUCCCGUUUCUGGCGGCCGAGCUCCCGGCAGCUGAGUGCCUCCUGAGUGGCCCCGGGCCCCCUGCUCUUUUCUCUACAUCUUGGCUUUGGGAGCACAGCUGCGGCGCUGGCGUCUGGUCCCCAGCAUUCUCCCUCUCCCUGCAGAGGCAUGAGGCAGCCCUCCGUCUUCUGUGGCCCCUACCCCAUGCCCAGAUGUGAGGGGGCCUGCCUGGGCUCAGAGCGGACCCCACAUGGCCCUUGCCAUCCUUCCCGGGAGGCCCCUCUCUGGACAGUGAAUGAAUUGUGGGACGCGGGAUCCUCACCUCCCUUGUAACAUUCCCUAAACAUCACCACCUCCUUCAACCCUUUAUUGGAUCCAUGUCACUGAUCUGCUUAUAUAUCACCAUUAUAAAGUUUAGAAGCCAUGGGGACCCAUGAUCAGACAUUAAACCCCUUUCCACACCUAAGCGCUCUCUAGGCAUCAGGUGGGAAGUGGGUUGGGGUCAUCUACACCAGGAGCUGGAAGCUGUGGCCACUACUGUUGACCGACACUGUCACCAUUUCUUCUCUGGUGCCAAAGUAGCCACAUGGUCCUUUAUGAGGACCUGUGACCACCUACCACUGUCAGUGAUGUUCAAGAGGCUACCUGGUACUGCAGAGCCCCCAUGUCGCCAGGGUACCCGAGUGGGCUCACAGCGAACCUUUGGAAUAGGAGUGGGGGCCACGGGACGAUUCUUAAGGCUGGAGGAAAAGUUCCCUUCCAACAGAAGGCGCGAGUCUGACUGGGGCUCACGUCCGCCCUGGGUGCUCAUGAAUUCAGGCCAGAUGCUGCCUCUGUUCCCCCCCCUUACAGAGGGGUGGACACACAUCUAAACAGCACUUGUUACCUAGCGUUGCUAUCUCUCAUGAGGCUGGGAAGGCAGAGGGACUUGCUCACAGCCAAGGGAAGUCCCACCCCGAGGUCUCUUCCUGAUCCCCUGACACCUGAACCACUUCCUCAGGGUGUUCUGUCAGUGCCCUUUGAAUCCUUCAGUUUAGUGAAGUAAUUUCAGUCACAACAUACUCACUGGAUCCAAGUCCAUCCUCUGUAUAGAGGUGAGAGCUCCUUGAAGGCACCACUUGCACCAUCAGCUCGUCAGUUUCUCAGCCUCGUCUGUGUCAGCCUGGGUGCUACACUCACGUUACCCGUUACCUGUGCUCUUGACUCUGAGUAACAAAGUGUGGCUUCGUGACCCCAGGUGGACGCUGACCCCAGCCCCACCUGCCCCUGCAUAUACACACAACAGUGUCUACUUGCCAGCACAGGCCUUGGGUCAAGGACUUCCUGUCUCCCUCCUGGCUGCCACCCACACUCAGUUUUGCUUUUUUCAGGGUAGCUCUCUGGCCAUGCUGCCCAGCUUGCAGUUUCUUAGUUCCCUGACCAGGGAUCAAACCUGUGCCCCCGCAGUGGACAUGGGGAGUCCUAACCACUGACCAGACAGCACGUGAGAUACUGUGUCAGUGCUUUCCGGCUCACACAGAAACUUCCUUGCGUCAAGUGCCGGGUUAGCAUCUGGACCACACCCUUGGCCGCAUCCUUCGGCAACAAGAUUGCACGGGACUUCCAAGAGGAUGAGGUUGGUACAGAGCUUUGGACUCCAGGAUGACCUAAAAGAGACUCCCCACUGGCCAGGUUAAAGGGCUGUGAUCUGGAGUGUGGGCCUGAAGCUGCUUCUCCAGGGCCCAGAAGGCCCACACUUCUUGUGUGAACAGACUCAGCCCAGGGUGCUCUCUUCAGUGCAGAAGGCAGCCAGGAAGAGGGGCUGGAGCAGGGAUGGCACGUGGCCUUGGGUUUGGCCUUGUUUCUCUUUGGUGAUGGGUGGGGCUGGAUGGUGGCGAAGAUGGUGGUCUUAAGUCUUACCUGACUAGAUCUACAAUGUUAGAACAAGAUUCAAAGCUCUGUAUCACAACUCAUUUCAAAUUUAGACUCUCAACUCACAUUUUGGAAAUAUUUCUUUGAAUUCAGGGCCAAAAGGAGAGAUAUUUGGGCCAUGAUUUCCAAGUUGAACAUCACGACCCUUGACCUAGACCCCGGUGGUUGGGGGCUGAGGGAAUGGGAGGCAGGACUCUACUUGCCUGUGCCCUGGGAGGGACUAUGCAGACCAGAGGAGGAACUUCAGCUCUCCCGCCGGUGGUCCUCUUCUGAGAUGUCAUUUCUACAGCGCUCAGGACCUUGCAUGUCACCCCCUCAGUAAGGACCCCUGGAACCGGAGCAGAAACAGGGGAAGGACGGCGUAGUGGCCAAGUGCAAGCGUCGCUCUAAGCUGGAGGCCUCUUCUCAUCACGGCGGGGCUGGCAGGCCGUGCUCUGCACCGUGCCCCUGGCAGCCCCCAGAACAGCCCCUCAGGUGGGCAAGGGAGGGCUGGUGCCGCAUCUGCCCAGCCCAGCCCAGGGGGCCGUGAUGGCGUCCUCCCUUGCUGAGCCAGGGUGAGGAGUGGGCCGCGGACUCCCUCUAGUCCCCAGGACACCCUCUGCAGGAACUCUGGGACUGGCAGGUAGGAACGGGGGUCCGGUGGGGGUGGGGGUGGCUAGGACGGGGAGUGGAAGGGAGACAAAGUGCUGCUUCAGGCCCGCUGCUGCCCCCGGCUCUGGCUGAGGGUCUUCCGCUGGCAGCCAAGCAGGACCUUCGCAGCCCUGGCCGAGCCCAGCUGC